CCCAUCGUGUAGAGGAGCCAUAAAACUGGCUACCCGCCCCGGCUUCGCAUGGGUUAGCAAAUUAUACACUUAAACCUUCCUCAAGAAUAACUCUAUCGAUAGGUGAAAACCGCAUGAAAAUCCGUUUUGUGGUUUUUUGAGUUUAUCGCGAACAUACAUACACACAGAUAGACGCGGCGGAAGACUAUGUGAUGAUAAAAAUAAUAAUACACUCAGCGCCUAAAAAAUACAUUUUGACAUCUGUUAACUGUCAAAUAGCAAAUGUUACCUAGUCUCUAGGCAAUAUCAAUGUCCUGCAGAUAGCCAACAUGUCACAGAAGCUUAAAAAUAAGGCCCAUUUUGGAUUUCACGGGCCUAUAAAUCCCGGAGUUUUGAUAGUCUUGCGCGGGGAUAUAUAUCAACACGUAGAGGCCCUUCGAAGAGCUUUAAUGUCAUAUAGAACGCCUGCUGGAACCCGUUCACGGUCGCAACAAUAAACGCCCAAAAAAGGCCCAUUUACUCAUUUUGACUUGGUUGUAGAAAAGUGGAUCAUAGUUGACUUCCAACAACAAUUUAUAUAGUGAGAAUGAAUACCAUUGAGUGAAUGAAAUCCUGUGAAUAUCAUUCAAUCAGUCAUAUCAACGUGAGCUUUUCACCAAAUUCUAAAUACACUCGGUUAUAUUUUAGAGUAAAAAUAAUGUAAAACGGUAGCACAAGUCAGAUUAUUUUCGAACUAGACUUACGUAGUGACGCAUCUUUUGCGUAAAUUAAGCUUUGGUAUUACAUAUAUGCUCGCAACAUACUACCUACUGUAGCAAAUGCAAAUGUGGCUACGUCACUUUCGGUUGAGAUAUAAGAGAAAGAGAUAGAGGAGCAUUUCAGAAAAUAGAGCGAAGUGUGUUUAUAGGGCCUUGUAAUCUGUGAAAAGUGUUAAGUAUUAAAUAAUGUGAUUUUCAUUACUGGCUCUCAUAAUAUCUAUACAUACUUUCUGAGAGAUGUAUGAUCUAUAGAAUCGAUAAAAAUGACCUGUCAAAAUCUUAUUUUCUUUGAACUAAUUUUGAUAUUGUUAACUUUCCCUGAGAGUUUUUUUUAAAAUUACUUUUGACAGGUUAUUUUUAAAGAGUAAAUAUGCCACCAAUGAAUAUGAUUGCUAUCUUAUAACGACAAUAGUAUGUUAUUUCUAUGUUGUAUCAGCUCAAAAGCUUACUUUAUAGAUAAAUAGACUAAGAGCUAGUCCCGAAAAAUGGUAUAUGAUAAUAGUAACGAAACCGCUCCAGUAAUCUUUUUAUCAAAUCAAUCAAAUCAAAUCAAAGCAUUUAUUUUCAGGCUACUAAGGCCCACAGAUACAUACCCUACAAACUAACAUAUAUAUACAAUACGAAAACUCGAUGGCUAUGGCUCGAUCUGAGAAUCUGGCAACUGCGACAGCUGAGGCAUGAGUGCAAGCCAGCAAAGUAGCAAUAGCUCUCCGUCUAUUACCUUUGGUGGCAUAUUUCCUCGCUUGUUUAUAUGGUGCUCGCGUAUGUUUUAAUUUAAGUACUUUAAAUAAAUAGUUAAUUAUAUCCACGCUUUUGCUUUUAAGUGGCGGGAUGUGAAUCUUUCUAUAUGCGAAAUGGGCAAGAGUAAAUACUUACUUUGCCCACUUUUCACAAACAUAUAUAGUACAUAUACAGGAUGUCCAUAAACUUAUGGGACGACCUGUAUAGUACAUAACAUGGCGCAUAAAUACCAAUCAAAGGACAAACACGGAUUGUUUGUAUCAAACUAUUAUUUAUAAGUAGGCAUUUUUAAUAGCUAUGUAUCAAUGUGAUGAGUCAUAUCUACUGUAUGUAUAUGUAUUAGAUAAAUUUGGCAUUUAUUCUUUCGCUCUUUGAUCAAUUCUGGACGUGAGAAAAUAAAAGCACCGCAUAUAUUUUAAACAAGUUCUGAAUCAAUUUAACCGUCGUAUUUUAUCUAGUGUUUAUAUAGGUACGUAUAUUGUGCUUUGAAUACUUUGAGUUUCAUGAAGAAAAUACCCCAUAUGAUGGUCCGGUAACGCGGUAAGGACUCAAAGUAGCCGUAAUACGCUUUUUAAAGCCUUAAGUUAGUUCCAUUCUAAAUUACAUUGCAUUGCAAUACAAAUAUAUAAGCGUUUUAUCAUUUCGCGUAUGUUCUGGUAAUAUAUGCCAGUUAUUAUUAGACAAUCGCAGUAAUUUUCUCGCGUCGACAUCAUAGUUAUUUCAUAUUUAGAAUUUCUAAUAUAGCGACACUGUAAAUUAUAUCACUUCUAUCGGCCUAUAGAAACUUUCUUAAGUGACCUUUGAAGAAAACCCAGCAGCGGUCUCAUGGUCGCGUUUUUAUCACAUGUCAUGUUAUACGUCACUUUCGCACUUGUUAGAACGUGACAAUUAUUGUGACACAUGAUAAAAAGCCGGCCAUCUUGACCCUUCUGAUUAGAUUAGUACUGUAUUAGUGUUUACUGGUCGGCAUCCAAAAGUUACCAUUACUUGUCAAUAAUUUGCCAUAUUAGGAUUUUAUAAUCACAUCAUUUAAAAAAAAAGUUAAAAAAAUCACACCGCUGGCCAGUUACUAAUUGUUUAAAUCUACACUUAAACUGUUAAACACCAAAUAAAUGCUACAAAAUAUACAAAUAAUAAAAUGUUAUGUAGUACCAUAGACUAGGAAUCCUCUAGACCGAGUUUCGAGCAAUUAUUUCAUGAUGAUGCCAAAAAUGCGGGGGUGAGCGGGACGAGGUGAGCGAAGUCCCGUGCCGUGAUUGGUCCGUUCAAAGACACGGGCGUCACACAAAGACACUUUCGACUCAAACAUGGAGUAAAAUUACCGUAUACGUGUCAGAGGGGGUAGCGCGACUAUGCUCAGUCCGGAGGAUGUUUUGUCUGUGUGUAGUACCAAAUAGGUAUAAUAAUUAUUUAUGUAAUGAUAUCACUUGGCUAAAUUAUUUUCCAGUAAUUAUGAUUGCAAUUAGCUUUUAAACUUUGGCUAGUAAAAGUCAAGUGAACUAUCAAGACUUCAAAUUAAAUUACACAGAAGCAUGCUCUUAAAUAUCUGAACACGUCUAUAAUUGCAUUAGACUUCAAGUUCGGAUAAUUUUGAGCACUUAACUUGCUCCGAUAUUUUUGAUGGAAGGUUUGCCUAUAUUACAAGUAAAUGUGAGAUGUUAGACCAGUGCCAUGUUUAUCAAAAGUUUGUAACUUGUAAUACAAGUGGAAGUCCCUUUCUGACAAAAGAUGAGAAAAGGGGACUUCCACUUGUAUUACAAGUUACAAGUUUUUGAUAAACAUGGCACUGCGCCCUGUUUAUCAAAAGCUUGUAACUUGUAAUACAAGUGUAAGUCCCUUUCUAACAAAAGCUGUCAAAAAGGGACUUCCAUUUGUAUUACAAGUUGAAGUCCCCUUUUCUCAUCUUUUGUCAGAAAGAGACUUCCACUUGUAUUACAAGUUACAAGCUUUUGAUAAACAUGACACAGGUACUUUUACUUUGGGACCAAUCCCGACAUUGAAAAAAAAUUGCAAUUCCAUAUUAAACUAUAUACAUAGUUUGCCUAAGACUGUCUCAUUUCAAACACAGACAGAAAGAACCAUAGGGUGCAUUGGGAUAAAUACGAAGGCGGGGUAAUUCCGAAACUGGCAAAUAUCUACUAAACUAGAAACACUUUCUACUGUAGCAACAGUACGCAAGGUGCCAUGUAAGCGUUGCAGCGGCUUAAGUGUUGCUAAAGUAUAAACUGUUUCUAGUUUAGUAGAUAUUUGCCAGUUUCGGAAUUACCCCGCCUUCGCAUUUACCCCAAUACACCCUACUGUCUUUAUCUUAAGCUAGUACCAUCACCCAAAAGAAAGGGAUGCGUAUAAUUUUCCUGGUUCUUACUGACUGUGUUUGCCAGAGUAUAAAAAUCAAAUCACUUAUUAUAGGGUUGGCCCUAGAGUAAAAGUGUUAUAGUAACUAUCAUUAUCAACUACAUAUUUAUGUCGGCGGCCGAUCGUAAGAUCAGGCAGAUCGUAAUAUUCCUGUGUAACGUUUUGACCAUAGUUACAUUAAACCAAUAAAUAGGUAGGAUAGGUUCGUUAGGUUGCUUCAGAUGCCCGAAGGGCAAACUGCCCAAAAUAGGAGCCCCGCGUAGCGGGGCUCCGUCGACUCAGGGAACCAGUUAAAGAUUUUCACUUUUCACGAUAUGCUUAGGAAUUUCACGAUAUGCCUAAUCUUACGAUCGGCCGCCGACAUUUACACAAACAUUUUAAUCACACUAAUAGUCAAGUUAUAUCUACUUAUUUUGUUCGCUUGUUGACGUUUUCUUAAUGUUUAGUAAAUUAUAAAAAAAUAGGGAUUGACUCUCUGUAGAUAAUAAGAUACUUAUAGAGGCAUCUGAAGCUCUUGUAAUGUAGAAAGUUGCAAAAUUAUUGGUAUGAAUAAAACAAAUAUAUGUAAAA